UGGCUUUAUUUUUUUUAAAUAAGUUUCAUUUUUAAAAGAAAUAUGUUUAACAAUCCAAUGUUAGUAAUGCAUGUCUAGAACUAGCACCAUGAAUCAUGUUUUAGCUCAUUUUAUUUAAGAUAAGUUAAAUAAUUGUUAAACCUGCUAUUUGUUAGAAUCUUCAUGGUGGUGAGGGUCCAAAGCUUGGAGUGAUUGUUUAAGCACAUCAGCUAAAGCACAGAUUCCAGUCACCUGCCUGUCUUCAACAGGGGGAGGGGAAUGUGCUUCUAAGUCAAGCAAGACGUAAUUGGGAGAGCCAACCACUGUUUUUCCCACUUAUGUUAGAUUUAUUGCGCUCCCACUACGUCAUUGAAUGGGCCAUAUCUCGUGUUUCUGGCUGUAUUGAAGGGGGGAACUGAAGGGUGGAGUAACCAUUUUGCAUGGGUGUUUUGUGUAAGUUUGGGGCAACUUAGUGUGCUGUGUGCAGUUAAAUGUAGUGUUGUUUAAUGGGAUUUGAUUUAAUUGUUGCCUCAGUUUGGUUAUAACUUAUUUUGGUGCUCAACUCUACACCAGUUUCCCUGGUAAU